rnacentral:lncRNA from 1 species
CGAGUAUGGAAAUCAUCAACAUUUGCUUUUGACAUGAGUUUCCUUAUAAAUUGAACUUUGUCCAAUUGAUUUCUAAAACCUUCAAAUGUUUUAGUUAAACGAUCACCUUUGUUGGAUCCUUGUACUUUCCCUGUUUGUCUGAGUAAUUCUUGCCAUGUAAGACUUCCAUUCUCAGAAAACAUGCGUUCAGCGAAUUGUUGCUCUAAUUCUUCUAGGUGAUUCAAUGUAUACUGUCUUUUAGUAUGCUCAUUUGGGAAUAAUGAAGGGUAUUCAGUAAAGUGUUGAUCAAGUUUUGAAAUGUAACUUUCAACAUCCUUAUUAGGAUCGAAUUUCCCUAUCUCUGGUACAUGCUUCGAUAAUAUUUUUGCAAAAAGGUUUAUUAAAUGUUCGUCUGAUGUUUGAAUUCCAUCCAAAUUCUCUGGUCUCCAUCGUUUUGCUCUUGCUUUCAUAUAACGAUAAUUUGCGUAGGACAUUGUAUAUGUUUCCCUUUGGGAGAUUUCAAAAGGGAUAACAGUCCUUCCAAAGUUCUUUCUCCUUUGAACCCAGAAGGAGAGAAAUAUAUAUAUUUAUGAUAUAUAUUUAUUCAAUAAUUCCUUUUUCCUAAAGGAGUUAAUUGUAGAUCACAAGAGUUCAGUUAUUGUAAGCUACGCAGUUUGGUAUCUGAUUUAAGGAUACGUAGAACUGCGGUGAGUUUUCCUUGUGAUCUAUUAUAUUACAAUACACAGGUUGUAUAAGUAGCAACUGAGUAUAGGUAUUGUAUUAACUGGGUUAUAAUGUUACCUAUCACUAA